CAGGCCUCUGGUAGAGGACCCGAGUUUGAGGAUGACACGGAUACCAUCGGCGUGUGCUACACUGCAACAAGCUCCAUGUGCUGCUCUUGUGUAACGUCCUGCACCAGCAGAAGCUCCCAGCCAGCGUUUGGUUUUUUCAUGACUUACACUGCUGAACCAUGGAGCUGUAAAACUCUUUAUGUGGAGUGCAUGGAUCUGUGCCGUCCACCAGUCUCUCCAUAGUGCCGCUGGUGAGCUGUUCAACCAUGGCAUGGUUUACACAGCCAAGCUUUUGAGGUCCCUGCUUCCUCUUACUCCUCCCCCUCUGAGCGCUGUGUGCUUUAUUCACCAACGUCAACACAAUCCAUUUGAAACUAUUGCAACAGAGAUGCAAAAGAAUGCUGCCAUGUCCAUCACCGGUUUGGAAACAAAGACGGUUCAAAGGGAAACCCUGUGUGAAAGGGGACCGUGGCCUGUUUUACUGCAGCCAAACGGAGAGCAGGCCUGGCUUUUUAGAUGAAGCAGCUGCAGAGGAAUCAAGAAUAAAACAUUUCAGACUUGAUCAUGAGUGCACACAGUCAGCUAGGGAAUAAAUACAAAAUAGAUAAUGUUCAAAAUAAAUCUCUUAAUCCUCAUGCCAGACUGUGUAUAGUGGCCUGGUGCCCACUGGACAAUAAAUCAGGAAAUGUUACCAGAGGGGCCCGACGAGCUCGCCUGCCAAGAAUAGCACAGAAAAGAAACAGCUAAU